rnacentral:misc_RNA from 1 species
UCUCUCUCUCUCUCUCUCUCAAGCGUGCACACACAGACACACGUUCUUGUGCACAUAAUGUGCAGGUGUUUUGCUUGUAGUAUGUGCAUAACAUUUGAUGUUUUGGCUCUCCAUUUGACCAAGAAAAUGGGUUGUAUACCUCCACAUCAGGCAUGAAAGUGGGUGAAGAGGAGAAAAAGAAAAAGAAGAAUGCUUUGCACUGUUUCUCUAGUUGAAAUGGGGAGUGAAUGAAGUUGUAUACGUUGUUAUUGCAUUACUUGGAAGUAUCACUCUUACGGGCUGAUAAGAGAUGGAUUAAAACAAGAAGUGUUGCCAUUAGUAAUGGCAACGGGACAAGUCGGGGGCAGCACUCCAUUGGAGUUUGAGGUAGGGGCAGAGAUUCCUUGUUGGGAUCUUUCUCUUUUUUCUUUUGAUUUUUAUUUUUAAAUGCGAUUCCUGUUCCUUCAAGCUAGAUUUUAUUCUGCAGUGUUUCACGCUGCCACUAAAGUGUUAAACUGCUGAAGACCGCAGACUUCACUAUUAAAGUUUUGUUUUGAAUACAACUAUAAGCAAUUACUGUCUAUAUCAAGCUAGAUUCAAUUCGG